CUGAUGGAAAAAUACAUAAGAAUACAUUGCUAAAAGGUGUGAAAGCCCUCAAAGGACCAAGGGUCAAAAUCAAAAAACUGGACUCCUUUAUGGAAAACAUGGGAAUUAGACUCAAGGAUGAGGAAUUUGAGGAACUAAUGACCCAACUGUCAGCUGAUGGUGAUAAUACAGUUGGUCUGAAUGAUUUGAUGGAUGCUCUCAGUUAUAUCAAGGGAGAGGUGAUUGAUAUCCAGGACUUAGACAACUUUCUAGCAAAUGAGGGGGUUGAGCUCACAGAAGAAGAAAUGAAACUAAUGCCUCAUUUGACAUUCAAUGG